rnacentral:rRNA from 1 species
UACGUAGGUGGCGAGCGUUGUCCGGAUUUAUUGGGCGUAAAGCGCGCGCAGGCGGUGCGGUAAGUCUGUCGUGAAAUCUCCCGGCUUAACUGGGAGGGUGCGGCGGAAACUGGAGUGCUCGAGGGGUGGGAGAGGUAAGCGGAAUUCCUGGUGUAGCGGUGAAAUGCGUAGAUAUCAGGAGGAAUACCUGUGGUGUAGACAGCUUACUGGACCACUUUCUGACGUGAGACACGAAAAGCCGUGGG